rfam:Lingula anatina scaffold1251, whole genome shotgun sequence.
UUGCUGUGAUGAACAGCUAACUUAGGACACCUUCUGAAGUCUGAUGAGAAAUGCUGUAUUUUCUGAGCAAU